rnacentral:rRNA from 1 species
CCUACGGGCGGCAGCAGUGAGGAAUAUUGGUCAAUGGGCGCUAGCCUGAACCAGCCAAGUAGCGUGAAGGAUGACUGCCCUAUGGGUUGUAAACUUCUUUUAUAUGGGAAUAAAGUGCAGUAUGUAUACUGCUUUGCAUGUACCUUAUGAAUAAGGAUAGGCUAACUCCGUGCCAGCAGCCGCGGUAAGACGGAGGAUCCGAGCGUUAUCCGGAUUUAUUGGGGUUAAAGGGAGCGUAGGCGGGUUGUUAAGUCAGUUGUGACAGUUUUCGGCUCAACCGUAAAAUUGCCGUUGAUACUGGCAUCCUUGAGUACAGUAGAGGUAGGCGGCAUUCGUCGUGUAGCGGU